rnacentral:rRNA from 1 species
GACGAACGCUGGCGGCGUGCCUAAUACAUGCAAGUUGAGCGAUGAAGAUUGGUGCUUGCCCCAAUUUGAAGAGCAGCGAACGGGUGAGUAACGCGUGGGGAAUCUGCCUUUGUGCGGGGGACAACAUUUGGAAACGAAUGCUAAUACCGCAUAACAACUUUAAACAUAAGUUUUAAGUUUGAAAGAUGCAAUUGCAUCACUCAAAGAUGAUCCCGCGUUGUAUUAGCUAGUUGGUGAGGUAAAGGCUCACCAAGGCGAUGAUACAUAGCCGACCUGAGAGGGUGAUCGGCCACAUUGGGACUGAGACACGGCCCAAACUCCUACGGGAGGCAGCAGUAGGGAAUCUUCGGCAAUGGACGAAAGUCUGACCGAGCAACGCCGCGUGAGUGAAGAAGGUUUUCGGAUCGUAAAACUCUGUUGGUAGAGAAGAACGUUGGUGAGAGUGGAAAGCUCAUCAAGUGACGGUAACUACCCAGAAAGGGACGGCUAACUACGUG